CACUACAUAGCCCCAACUGACCUGGAACAUGGUGUGUAGGCCAGGCUGGCCUCAAACGUGCAUCAAUCCUCCUGCCUGUUUCCUGAAGAUUCCAUGCUGGGAUUACAGGCCGUUUGGUGUUCCAGAGGCCUUCUUGGGAGGUCUCCUCUGCAUCUCAGAAGCAGCCUGCGCAAGGACUAAGUGCAGACUAGGCAAAGUACACAGAAUUCACCUGGUCGGAGGAAAGAAGCCACUCCCACAGCUGUCCUUUGACUUCCACACAUGUGCAUGGCAUGGGCAUACCAAUAUAUAUACAAAAAUACAAAAAGUA